GGAUGUAAGGGCAAUCUGGCUGCAUCUGUCACUCCAUUGUUUUGGUUGAUCUGGUUAGCUAGGCAGAUGUCCCCUUCUUCCCUCACUGCUGCAUGUGCAUCCCUCCCAAAGCUGUGUGUUUGGUGGAAGAGGAAGACCACCCCUGAUAGAGGCGGACCAUUUCCUCUUCAAGGAUAUAUAAGUAACUGCACUCCCCUGCUAGAAUCUCCAAACAAUUAGUAUAUGCAAUUAGUAUAUGCAAUUAGUAUAUGCUUGUGAUAUAUGAUAAUUACAUUCAUCCUGGGAAAUUGGU
rnacentral:snRNA from 1 species